UAUGGUUGUGUGCCAGCAGCCGCGGUAAUACGGAGGAUGCGAGCGUUAUCCGGAUUUAUUGGGUUUAAAGGGUGCGUAGGCGGUUUAUUAAGUUAGUGGUUAAAUAUUUGAGCUAAACUCAAUUGUGCCAUUAAUACUGGUAAACUGGAGUACAGACGAGGUAGGCGGAAUAAGUUAAGUAGCGGUGAAAUGCAUAGAUAUAACUUAGAACUCCGAUAGCGAAGGCAGCUUACCAGACUGUAACUGACGCUGAUGCACGAGAGCGUGGGUAGCGAACAGG
rnacentral:rRNA from 1 species